rnacentral:lncRNA from 1 species
GUUUGAUCCACUUUUCAAACUCCAGAUUUGAUGAAAUUUUUACCUAACAUUCUACACUCAUAGGGGAUUCCAAAGAGGUAACAUGCAUUGCUAUCGGAGGUCGUUUGACCUCCUAAAUAAUUCGCCGAAAUUGGACUUCGACACAGUUUUUUCGUAGUGCCGGAAAAAUUUGUCAAAAUCCGAUUCUUCCUCNNNNNNNNNNNNNNNNNNNNCUGAUACGCUUCCAAAAAUCUACAGCUGGCAGUGGGGAACUUCUUCCUCUUAUUCCCUAGCUUCUUGCCCAACUGAUACAUGCAUUUACAAUAUAUUUAGUUUUGUAUCAAGGGCUAUAAUCUACGUGCCAAUUAUAAUAUAGGGGACUUUAAUUGAUUCAACUCCCCCAUUCCCUAAAUCUUUUCUUUUCUUUCUUUUUUUCUUUUUCUGUUAAUUAACUCACCAUUUAUGUGUAUUAGGGACUCCCUUGCAUGAGUACAAGGUCCCCUUAGCUUAAUCUGGGCUUAAUACCCUAUUAUGGUAUAAAAUCCCCUAUUUUCCCACUCGGAUGAACAGUAACCCGAACCGACAGCCGGUUACUUCAUCCUAGGUUUGAUCCACUUUCCAAACUCCAAAUUUGAUGAAAUUUUUACCUAACAUUCUACACUCAUAGGAGAUUCCAAAGAGAUAAAAUGCAUUGCUAUCGGAGGUCGUUUGGCCCCCUAAAUAAUUCACCGAAGUUGGAACUUCGACACAGUUUUUCCGUAGUGCUGGAAAAAUUUGUCAAAAUCCGAUUCUUCCUCUUUUAACCGCCUCUACAACCCUUAUCCGACCCCUCUAGACUAUAUCUACCCUUUGUAUAGCCUAAUGUCAUCAAAAGACUAGAUAGGGACGGAUAUU